rnacentral:lncRNA from 1 species
ACUAAUCUUGGACGCUUUGUGUCAAAAUUCUUGAAAGUCGUUCCACUGUCUUCAAAAUCCAGUCUCUUUCUUUCUCCUUUAGAAGAAUGCUCCAUUUCUGCAUGAAGAUAAUUGAUCGAUGCACCACAACAUUAGGGUUCGAAAUAACCUUGUUGUUGAAAACAAAAUCAUUGUGAAUUAACCAUAAACUCCAGCAAAUACAAGCAAGCAAAAAGAUCAGAAAAUGUUGGAGAUUAGUUGGUAUUUGUGUCCAGAACAAAGCAUCAUGGAAAAUCCACCAACAAUAGUUCGCAAGGUGACAUUCGAAGAAAAUAUGUUGAGUUGUUUCUAAGUU